AGGCCGUCGGAUGAGGAAAGUCCGGGCUUCACAGGGCAGGAUAACGGGUAACGCCCGCCGAGGGUAACCUCCGGACAAGUGCAACAGAGAGAUACCGCCUUAUUUUCCCGCGUCAGCGGGGGAAAAAGGUAAGGGUGGAAAGGCGAGGUAAGAGCUCACCGGCCGCUCGGAGACGAAGCGGUCCUGUAAACUCUAUCCGAAGCAACACCGUGACGGGGAACUCGCAGCAUAUGCGACGCGCCGGCCCGGCGCGCGGAUUCCUCAGGGGUGGCAUGAGGCACGCUGGCAACAGCGGUCCCAGAUAGAUGAUCGUUUUCAACAGAACCCGGCUUACAGGACA
rnacentral:RNase_P_RNA from 1 species